CCCUUAGAAGAUGGCAGUCUGAUGGUUAUUUGCAUUGAUCUAUAUUCAGCUAGUACUUUUUAGGUAAAUACCCCUUAGAAUAUGGUGCAGUCAGAUGGUUAUUUGCAUUGAUCUCUAUUCAGCCAGUACCUUUUUUUGGUAAAUACCCCUUAGAAUAUGGUGCAGUCUGAUGGGUGUUUGCAUUGAUCUCUAUUCAGCCAGUACCUUUUUUUGGUAAAUACUCCUUAGAAUAUGGUGCAGUCUGAUGGUUAUUUGCAUUGAUCUCUAUUCAGCCAGUACCUUUUUUGGUAAAUACCCCUUAGAAUAUGGUGCAGUCUGAUGGGUGUUUGCAUUGAUCUCUAUUCAGCCAGUACCUUUUUUGGUUAAUUACCCAUUAGAAUACUUAUUAAUAUGGUACUCCGCCCAAGAUUGGAGAAUUACGUCCAUAUAGAAAUUUAGCUGUCUUUAUAUAAAAAAUUUAAUAAGAGGUAGUAUGUAAGGUUAUGAUAUUUUAAGUAGUUC